rnacentral:lncRNA from 1 species
CUGCGUAUCCCCGUAUCCCCGUAUCAUUGAAAUAUAAUAGUUACCAAUUCUCCUUUUAAACUACUCGAAUAAUUACGUCAUUUUCUUUGACUGCGUAUUCCCGUAUCCCCGUAUCAUUGAAAUAUAAUAGUUACCAAUUCUCCUUUUAAACUACUCGAAUAAUCUUUGACUGCGUAUCCCCGUAUCCCCCAAAAGCAGACACUAUCAAAAUUUAUGGGACAAUCAUCUCUGCAAGAGUUGCAAGAGUGCCUAAACCAAUAUCAGUAUUUGUAAAGAAAUCACCCGAUACUUAUGAAGCAUGGCCAUCAAACUCACUCAUCACCCAAGACCAAUACGAAGAAAAAUACAGCCGUCAAUGUCACAGUGCCAUAACCCAGAACAUAAAGCAACUUUUAAUACGCCAAGGUUUCCUAAAUGNNNNNNNNNNNNNNNNNNNNCCCGUAUCCCCGUAUCAUUGAAAUAUAAUAGUUACCAAUUCUCCUUUUAAACUACUCGAAUAAUCUUUGACUGCGUAUCCCCGUAUCCCCCAAAAGCAGACACUAUCAAAAUUCAAAAGUGGCCGGGUAUUCUAUAAUCGCUCCGCUGGUAAUUCCAUACAGUAGGGGAUUUCUUUUUGGAGAUGUUUAGAGCCUUACAUUUGGAUGUAUUGAAG